UUCCCUCUAUUCUGACUCUUAAUAUUUACUUACCUCCUCCAAACAGUCGCUUAUUCUCUCGCCGGAGCCUGGUUAAGAGGGAAACCCCCAUAUUCCCCUCUUAACGAGUAACGGUGUUGUGUUUUGCAGGAUUAACAGAUCAUUAAGGAGCUCAGAAAGUCUUAAGAAGAUUAACCCUUAUGGUAGAAACAUAAACCAAACUAAUCAACCCCUAAAAUUAGUUACGUGUUUCUUCAGUAACACUUUUCAAAUUAUACCUAAGUAAGAGGACGCGCUGAUCAUGCUUACAAAGGUUAAAUUUCUCAAACUACGGAACGGUUGGAAUAGGAGAACCAUUGAAGAUUCGAGUACUUAGUGGGCGUUCGUUUUCUAGAAGUCUUAGCUUAUUUGCUUCCGCUGUGCAAUGAAGAUACCGGUCCAGUCACGCCAGCUCUGAUAUUUCAGGGUGUGACGCGCAUAGGGUAGGUAUUUGAGGCUGUAAGGUUUUGAGGAGGUGUAUGAGGGUUGAGGUUGUAAGUCAGGUCACGUUAGGAAUGGGGGGUAUGGUUUGGGUGGUGUUCGGUGCAGGAUUGGUCGGCUUUGGUGGUCUCGGUCUACGCUGAUAACAGUGGGAAUAAGGGACGAUAACCAUUGGUUUGGGCCAAAGAGGAUGUUGGAAAGUAAAUACAUCAGGUAUGGGGUCCUUAAGAAACCGAUAGGUCGAUAUGGGUGUAGGGAUGGUAUAUGGAAAUACUUGAUUGGCUAGUCGAUAGGUCGGUAACAAGGUGAUCAACGACCGUUAGUUGAUUAGCCAAGUCCUUUAGCCGUUGAAAGUAGUCGUCUAGAGACGAGCAUGCAGCAAGGGUGAGGAUGCAAAUUUUUGUUUCCAAGGCGGUAGCACUGGCCUUCUUGUUACUAAGAAAGUUUUUCUCCAAUUUGACCCAACCAUCCCUAGUUGUCGAGUCAGAAGCGAGGACACGAACAAGAAGAUCACCAGAUAUAGUACUGUAGAUCCACUGUAGAACCAGUACAUCGAGCUCUUUCCAAUCCGCAUAGUUUUCAGCCGUGGAUGCAGGUGGUGGAGAACCAUCUAUGUGAUUCGAUACCUUAUAAGGCCACCAUGUUCAAUUAAAAAGCUUAAUCCAGGAUGAGUAGAUGACUUUGAUGCCAUCGAGGGUGCGUAUUUUAGGGUGCGUAUUUUGGUCUGUAUAUUGGUGACAGAAUAUGCAAGGUGGAAUGGGGCGGCCUUGAUGGAAGAUGAUUCAGAUUUAUCUUCGUUAGGCAUGAUUGAGAUCAG
rnacentral:lncRNA from 1 species